UACAGAGGUCCCAAGCGUUGUUCGGAUUUACUGGGCGUAAAGGGUGCGUAGGCGGUCGGGUAAGUCUGAUGUGAAAUCUCCGGGCUCAACCCGGAAAUGGCAUUGGAUACUAUUCGGCUAGAGAGUUGGAGGGGGGACUGGAAUUCUUGGUGUAGCAGUGAAAUGCGUAGAUAUCAAGAGGAACACCAGUGGCGAAGGCGAGUCCCUGGACAACUUCUGACGCUGAGGCACGAAAGCUAGGGGAGCAAACAGG
rnacentral:rRNA from 1 species